rnacentral:lncRNA from 1 species
GGGCUGGAAAAAUCCUGGUGUUUUGAAUAUGUUCAGGUCCAGUUCAGACUCUUGAUCCCACAGCCACUUCUUGAGUGAGACUUGCACAUGAAGUGCAUAUGUUCAUAUUUACCCGUUUGGAGAUGGGUAAGAUACAACCAGCAUAGCUCCAUCUCCAUGGCCAUCUUUGAUUUCAUGCAACUUUCCUUUUUCCUGUCCCCCUCCCACCAAAAAAAAAUCCAUUCCUAAUAAACAGCUAUCAUGUUUCA